CAUCCUCCAGCAGGCCACCGGCCUCCCAGGAUCACCAUCCACCUUGUUCCCUGAAGGUUCCACUGACCUCUGGAACGAGCUCAGGCUUGGGUUCUCCACCGGUUGUGGGGGAUGAAAACCCUGACUCUAAGAUAAAGGCCACUACGUGAACCUGGAGUUCUUCAGAGUCACCAUGUGGAAAAUGUGAUAACACAACAAACCAGAGAAUGUGUCUGGCACUGGGUGGGCUCUGAAGAAAUGUCAGGUUUAUGUCUUGCUCUGUUCCUCAGUUUCCAUCAGAGACACAAGUUGGCCUGUCCCAGAGUCCUUGCUGACACGGCUACCUGAUCCAUGCGGAAUCUCUGCCAUUGAUUGGUUCAGUUCAAUAAGCGUUGACUGCUCAGCACCAAGCCCCACAGCAGCUGCUGGGGGUGAAGGUGGCAAAGAACAGAAAGGCAGGGAGCCUGCCCUGGGAGAACACAGCAUACCUGUUCAGGCUGCGAGCUUCAUCUUGUUGGCUGUCUCAGAUGUGUUCCUAUCGGAGCAGAUGAUAAGUGAGAGGUCACUGAAGGUGAACACCUGCAGGUCCCCAGAUUAAUCACGUUGUGUUUGCCAAGUGUCACCGAAAGCACGUCUUAGAGACAACGCAUCUUCAUCAGGUCCAGCCCUGGCCUGCGACUUCCCAGAAGUGGAGCCUUGACCCACAACUUCACUUUACUUCUCUCAAGCGGGAUCCAACAGAGAAAAAUUCCGCUCUGCCAGCCCCUUGGAGAUCAAAUGAAAUCAUGAGAUGGAUCUUGGGAAAUUCUGAAGUACUUUAAGGACAUUGGACAUAAUUACUAUAAGCUUAAAACUCCUUGCAAACAAGUCUUCCUACAAUUUGUCUUCACUCAAUGCUUUUAAGCUCUGCAGUGUGCCCUUUUGAACACGUCCAAAUUCAGUUCAGCCUUCCAGGUUUUAUAGGUUCACAUUGUUUUCCUUCUCAGCCUUACUUUUCCCACACCUAGGGCUCUUGAUGUUUUUGGUAGUUCCUGAUGGAGCCCCCUUAAUCACGGAAACACUGAGUGAAGGGCAUUCCACAAGGGCAGGACAAGGUUCCUGGUUGAUUUCCAAAAUCCUCCCUGAAAACAUCCAGAUUCCAUUGGUUUUUUGCACUAUGACCACCCUUUCGACCACCUACUAGUAGGCUGCAUCCCACGUUGUCUGUAUGAACUCCUAGAUCUCUUUCUUGAAUCAAAACAGAAGGCUCAGGGCCCACGACCUAAGGCUA
rnacentral:lncRNA from 1 species